UACGUAGGUGGCAAGCGUUUGUCCGGAUUUACUGGGCGUAAAGAGCGCGCAGGCGGUCGAUCAAGUCGCGUGUGAAAGCCCCCGGCUCAACUGGGGAGGGUCACGCGAUACUGAUCGACUGGAAGGCAGGAGAGGGUAGUGGAAUUCCCGGUGUAGUGGUGAAAUGCGUAGAUAUCGGGAGGAACACCAGUGGCGAAGGCGACUACCUGGCCUGUUCUUGACGCUGAGGCGCGAAAGCUAGGGGAGCAAACGGG
rnacentral:rRNA from 1 species